CCCAACCUGACUGCUGUGUUCUGCCCUGAGUCUGCAGAGGCUGACCCUGGCCAGGAAAGUGGUUGGAAAAGCAUUUUUGCAGAGAGGCAGCCUGAAGGUGGUGGCUCUAUGUAAGUGUGCACCCUUGGUUGGAAAGGCUGAAGGUCAGGAAUGGUAUUAGGAGAAAGUUCCCCCUUUCUCCUUUGUCCCUCCUUCCUGCCCCUGGACACAGGCUUGAGGAUCUGCAUCUGGCUGGCUCACCCUUCCUGCACAACUUUUCUAUUCAAGUUUUUCAGGGCAGGGCUUUAAGAAACACUUCAGGUUAAUUAUAGCCAGGGGUCAUUUUCUAUACAAGCGGGACAAACUUGAUGUGACUACAGGGCUGUCUCCAGGGCUGAUUCAUUCGACCUAGAAAACUGCCCCUAGGGAAACAGCCUCAGAAUCUUGCCUGCAGCUCUGGAAGUGGUAAUGGGCCCACCUGUCUCCCUGCCCAUCAUCUCACAUCUGGGGGAAUGUCUUGGCUAGCAGCAUGGCCCUGAGUGAGGGGUUUAGGUAAACAAGGUGUGACUGGGAUUGGAAGAGUCACAAACCUGUUUGUUAGAGCAAUGCUGAAGAGUUUCAGGAAAAGAAUUUCAUCAAGGCUGGCACAUCUGUCCUCAGACACUUGAAGGAUUCCCUGGAGGAAGGAGGACUGAACUUGCCCUACAAGAUCCUGCGGGGCAAAGAACUGUAAGCAGAGACAAAAUGAAAGCCCUCUAGGCCCACAAUUGAUUCUAACGGCUGUGAGGGAAUGAGCUUCAACUACUGUUGAUGGGAGGGACUGUGUGCCAGGCACUGUGCUAGGGACUCUCAUGCAUGAUCUCAUUCAUCUUCUGCAUAACCCAAUGAGGUAUGAUCUACUAUCAAGUGUCUACAUUUGUAUUGGAUUGGUAUGUGUGCCCAACAAAGAAAGUGUCAUUUUUCCUUGGGAAUGAAAUCACAUCAUUUGUGAAGACUUAGUAGAGGCUAAAUGAGUACAAGCAGCAUUUACCUUAUUAAACAGAUAUUUUCAACAUUUAAAACAGUCUGACCAUCAAUGAUGAUGUUCAAAAACAUCUCAAGAUGUUUUAGAGCUAAAGCAAAUGAGAAAAUAUAGUAAAGGGCUGAUUCCUGUGGAUAUUCUGCAAAGGAAAGUAACAUGGUGGAGUGGAAGUGGGAUAAGGUUUGAAGCCAAAAGACCUGGUGGGCUUAAGGUCUCCAUUUAUUGGUUGUGUGACCUUGGAUAAGCCACUUCACCUCCUGGUGAGACUUGGGCAAAAUGGAGAUCAUAUUAAUCACCUCACAGUUUGUUACGCAUUGAGUAAAUGCACAUGUAAGCAUUAUUGACUGUAAAUGAUUAUGCAUAUUUUAAUUAUGGUAUAUCCAAGCCUGAUUUUUCAUCCAGUGCUUACAGUGCCCUGGGCAUAAUACUCAUUCAAUAAACAUUUGUUUGAUGAUAGAGUAAUAAAUGAAUAUGUGAUGCAGAAGUUUUAAAAAUAUUUUUGCUGCUGUCUGACUCAUUUAUAGACAUUUAUAAAAUUGAGGAUUUGUAAGUUGUCCCUGGACAAUCAGAUCUCUUGAUUCAAAGGUGAAAGAUAAUCAUUCAGGUUUUCAAGUUUUUCCUGAUAUGAGACAUUAACUGGCAGGGCUGAUUAUGAGAAAUUGUCAUUAUCCUGCUCAAAUAUAAGAUCAUAGAUUUGGGAAACCUUAGAAAUAAUUACCUUCUUUUCAAAUAUGAGGAAACUGAAGCCCAGAGGCUCUAAGAAAUCAGGGACUUUAUAUAAUUUUUUCAUUUCUCUAGCUCUAGGGUAAUUGUAGAUAGAUAUACAACAAGUAUGUUUUUAAAAGUAUAUUUUUCAAGAAUUAUGCUAAGCACUGGGGAAAUAAACAUUAACAAGACAAAACCCUCCCCUUUGAGGAACUGAUAAUCUAGACAGACAUGAAAACCAGGAAGUGUGCUAUCAGUUAUAUUAAUGUUGUACAGAGUUCUAGUGGCAAGAGGGAACUGCCAAGGGAAAUCUGAGAGGAGGUGUUUACCCUGCGUAAACACCUUGCUGUUUAGCUUGGCAUCCCUAGAAGCAGACCCUGAGGACAGUGGGAAAAUGGAUUAUUAAGGAAGUGCUCCUGAGAGAAACCAGAAAGGGGGUGUAGGGAGCAAGGGAGGAUAAGGAGAAGACUCCAGUAAGGAUGAGAUUACUCAAGUCCCAUGGAAGACAGGUUAGCCUGAUCCUGCAGGGGAGCCCUGGAGGAGUUACUAAUGUGGAGAAAGAAGAUUAUCAUGUGUGGAACGAAGGACAAUAUGAACAUUAAAUAAUGCCCUGACUCAUUCCAAAAAGAAUCUGAGAUGACCAAUAAAGCCAUUUUUAAUUGUUUAUUAGUGAACAAUAGAUUAUGAGUGCUAAAGGGAUUCAGGAAGAAGAAAGAUCAGUGCAGAGUAGAGAAGUCUGAUGGAUGCAUUGAAGAAGCUAUGCUUGAGCUGAAAUGACAAGAGAGCUGUUUUUCGCUUUCAGAAUUAUUAUGUGGCAAUGGUAAUUGACAACAGAGAAGCUGAAGGUAUGAGGACAAGGGUGUCUUAUCUUUCCCCAGAAGUCUUGCUUGGCCCAUGGGAGAAUACAGGCCUGCACCUUGGACUUGGAGUCAGUAGAUUCCUUCCUGUGAUUUUUUACAAGCUCAAACAUCCCCUGACUGAGUCAUUCACCAGAGAAAGAGGCUUUUCAAAUGAUUUGUGCAUUAGCUAUAGUCUGCCUUAUUCAACCCCAUUUUAGUGUCACAAAAGCUUCUUCUUCCUACAUUGUUAGAGCCUUUUUGACUUUUCUGAAACGACAUCUGCUCACCUCUUGGGUAACACCCUGCAGGGCUCAGUCGAGCUCAGUCACCCUUCACUUUUUUUUUUUUUUUUUUGAGCCAGUUUUGUAAGGUGCUGAGGGAGGUUUGUAUUAGUCCUUGUUGCCCCUAGAAGAAAUAACAGCUAUAAUUUUGGCCCCGAAGAAAAGGAACAGAUAGAAGAAGAAGGCAGAGGAGUCAGUGUUGGAGUGAUGCCAUGUGAGAAAGACUCAACUGGCCAUUGCUGGCUUUGAAAAUGGAAGGAGGCAUAAGCCAAGGAAUGAAUGCAGGUGCCUCUAGAACCUGGAAAAAGCAAGGAAACAAAUUCUCCUCUAGAACCUCCAGAAGGAAUGCAUUCCUGCCAACACCUUGAUUUUUAGCUCGGUGAGACCCAUGCUGGACUUCUGACCUGCAGGAUUGCAAGAUAAGAUAUUUGACUUAUUUUAAGAUGCUAAGUUUGCAGUAAUUUGAUAUGGUAGCCAUCGGAAACUAAUACCGAUGCCAAAGCAGUAAAGCAGGAAAGCACUCCAAAAUCACAGGAGUGAGAGGAGCAGAAAUGUCCUAGGAGAAGACAAUGUUUCCUUUUGAAAAGGAAAGUUUACUGGCAACUUCCAUUUGAAUUUCUUAAUUUCUUUCCUCAGUGGCAGUCACUACUUCCAAGGUGGCAGGUUCCAGAGCUGAUUCAUUAUAUAAUCUUUUCUCAGGAGUAUUCUAGCCACCUUUAAAGAAGCUAGGGCCAUUUUCCUGACACUGCAUCAAGGGGUAAGGUUAGUGGUAAAGAAACCAUGCGGUAGGAAAGGCCAACUUUCUCCCUACAUAAUCCAAUCGCAUUAUCUCCAGACUUGCUCACCCUCUGCUCUUUGCAUACUGCAGCUCCAGAGCUUUCAUACCUACAGACUUCCUGGAGUUAAGACUAAAACAAGAGUUGUGCUACAGACUACCGUUCCUAUUAUCAUUUUUUGUGUCCUGCUGAGUCCUCCCCUCUUGGCAACUUCAGGACCACCCACUGGGAAGAUAAUAUACAACCCAUCAGGAAACUCCCAGUGCCCAUCGUGGAGGCCAAGUGCUGCCAACUCUGAUUGCUUCUGGAAUGCCAUUUCUUCCCUGCCCUUUCAAUAUUCUUGUUAUGCGACUCCUAUGAUCACUGCCAAUCUGUAGAAAAUUACAGGAUGAAUUUUUGUGAAGGACUGAAUUUGCAUACUGGUCUUUUGUUGUUUAUUGUUGGGGGGAUUUUGCUUUUUGCACACAAUUUCUGCACAUUUUAUUGGAAGUUAUUGGGUUAGAUUCAUCCCAUUCAUUCACUAGCCUGGCAUUGCUAUGCAUGUGCUGUAGGGGCUUAGCAUUAAACGAUUUUCUUUGUUCAGAUUUGGAUUGCUGUCUCUGCUUGCAAAUUAUUUUUCACAAUGACUCCUUCUUUUCCUUCUCUCUCUCUCUCUUUCUCUCUCUCUCUCUCUCACACACACACACAGACACACACACACACACACACACACACACACACACACACACACAGAUGAGGUUAGAUAUUUUUCCAUUGCCAAGUUCAGGACCCAUGAAUAC
rnacentral:lncRNA from 10 species